rnacentral:hammerhead_ribozyme from 1 species
ACCUAGCUGACGAGUCCCAAAUAGAACGGAAUGUACGUCCUGGAU